AGUCGAACGCGAAAGCCCCUUCGGGGGCAAGUAGAGUGGCGCACGGGUGAGUAACACGUAGGUAAUCUACCUUCGGAUGGGGAAUAACAACCGGAAACGGUUGCUAAUACCGCAUAAUGCAGCGGCACCUAAUGGUGACAGUUGUUAAAGCGGGGGAUCGCAAGACCUCGCGUCUGAAGAGGAGCCUGCGGCGGAUUAGCUAGUUGGUAGGGUAACGGCCUACCAAGGCGACGAUCCGUAGCCGGCCUGAGAGGGCGGUCGGCCACACUGACACUGACAUACAGGUCAGACUCCUACGGGAGGCAGCAGUCGGGAAUUUUGGGCAAUGGGCGAAAGCCUGACCCAGCAACGCCGCGUGAAGGAUGAAAUCCCUCGGGAUGUAAACUUCGCAAGAACGGGAAGAAUAAGUCUGCGCGAACAUCGCAGGCGAUGACGGUACCGUUUGUAAGCUCCGGCUAACUCCGUGCCAGCAGCCGCGGUAAUACGGGGGGAGCAAGCGUUGUUCGGAUUUACUGGGCGUAAAGGGCGCGUAGGCGGCCACUGCGAGUCAAUUGUGAAAUCUCCGGGCUUAACUCGGAAAGGUCAACUGAUACUGCAGGGCUAGAGUGCGGAAGGGGCAACUGGAAUUCUCGGUGUAGCGGUGAAAUGCGUAGAUAUCGAGAGGAACACCUGCGGCGAAGGCGGGUUGCUGGGCCGACACUGACGCUGAGUGCGCGAAAGCUAGGGGAGCGAACGGGAUUAGAU
rnacentral:rRNA from 1 species